UACGUAGGGUGCGAGCGUUGUCCGGAAUUAUUGGGCGUAAAGGGCUCGUAGGCGGUUUGUCGCGUCGGGAGUGAAAACCAGGUGCUUAACACCUGGCUUGCUUUCGAUACGGGCAGACUAGAGGUAUUCAGGGGAGAACGGAAUUCCUGGUGUAGCGGUGAAAUGCGCAGAUAUCGAGGAGGAACACCGGUGGCGAAGGCG
rnacentral:rRNA from 1 species